UACGGGAGGCAGCAGUGGGGAAUAUUGCACAAUGGGCGCAAGCCUGAUGCAGCCAUGCCGCGUGUAUGAAGAAGGCCUUCGGGUUGUAAAGUACUUUCAGUCGUGAGGAAGGUGUUAAGGUUAAUAACCUUAGCAAUUGACGUUAGCGACAGAAGAAGCACCGGCUAACUCCGUGCCAGCAGCCGCGGUAAUACGGAGGGUGCGAGCGUUAAUCGGAAUUACUGGGCGUAAAGGGCACGCAGGCGGUUAAUUAAGUUGGAUGUGAAAUCCCCGGGCUUAACCUGGGAAUGGCAUUCAAGCUGGUUAGCUAGAGUCUUGUAGAGGGGGUAGAAUUCCAUGUGUAGCGGUGAAAUGCGUAGAGAUGUGGAGGAAUACCGGUGGCGAAGGCGGCCCCUGGACAAAGGACUGACGCUCAUGUGCGAAAGCGUGGGGAGCAAACGAGGGAUUAGAUACC
rnacentral:rRNA from 1 species